ACUUCUCGAAGUGCGUAGUCAGCUUUAUAGGGCGUCAAGCAUCGAAGUAGAGGAGGAGAAUAAGACUUUUUAUAUAAAUGACCUUUUUAGAGAAUAUACUAUGGGGCUUGUCUUUUAAUGCUUCUAGUCUUGAUUGUAUCAUUUGGAUAGAACUCCUUUAAAUAUGUAAUCCAUGAGGGGAUUAAUCCAAUUCGGCUCAUGACCGACCUG
rnacentral:lncRNA from 1 species